CUUGUAUUCCCUCCGUUCGGAAUUACUUGUCACAAAAAUGGAUGUAUUUACAACUAAAAUACAUCUAGAUACGUUCAUUUCUUUGACGAGUAAUUCCGAACGGAGGGAGUAUAAA
rfam:Triticum aestivum genome assembly, contig: Triticum_aestivum_CS42_TGACv1_scaffold_225173_3B